AAACAAUUUUGCACACGUAGAAAAUUGAUCUGUGGAUAAGCACAACAAUCUGCAUAACUGGAGCCACAGAAGUUGGCAGUUCCUAACACAGUGCUUGACAUAAAAGAAGGGCUCACUGAAUCUCAUCAGGAAUCAGAAGACACUUGGUUAUCAUGGAAUGGGAGGAAAAGAAACGAGACAGACCAAUGAAACAGUUAACUGAACCUAUAGCAAAAAGAACUAUCCCAUAAAAGGAACAAGAUAAGAAUUCCUAUUAUAAUUGCUGCUGUUUUAAACAAUAUUGGAUGUUCUCACAAAUACCGUAAGUAUAGCAAAAG